rnacentral:rRNA from 1 species
UAAGGUGCUGCAUGGCUGUCGUCAGCUCGUGUCGUGAGGUGUUGCGUUAAGUCGCGCAACGAGCGCAACCCUCGUAUUUAGUUGCCAUCAUUAAGUUGGGCACUCUAGAUAGACUGCCGGUGACAAACCGGAGGAAGGUGGGGAUGACGUCAAGUCAUCAUGCCCCUUACGCCUUGGGCUACACACGUACUACAAUGGCCGGGACAAAGAGUCGCAAGCAUGCGAAUGCAAGCUAAUCUCAUAAACCCGGUCUUAGUUCAGAUUGCAGGUUGCAAUUCGCCUGCAUGAAGGCGGAAUCGUUAGUAAUCGCAGGUCAGCAUAGUGCGGUGAAUACGUUCCCGGGCCUUGUACACACCGCCCGUCACACCAUGGAAGCUGGUCACGCCCGAAGUCGUUAUCUCAACCCGUAAGGGAGGGAGGCGCCUAAGGCAGGGCUGGUGACUGGGGUGAAGUCGUAACAAGGUAGCCGUA